rnacentral:sRNA from 1 species
GCCGGGCGUGGUGGCACACGCCUGUAAUCCCAGCAACUCAGGAGGAUGAGGAAGGAGAAUCUUGAGUUCAAAGCCAACCUCAGCAGAUUAGCAAGGCACUUAGCAACUCAGUGAGACCCUGUCUCU